rnacentral:lncRNA from 1 species
CAUAUUCCCUGGAACAGUGGUUCCCAAACUUGACUGAACAUUAAAAGUACCUGGAGAGCUUUUCAAACCGCCAAUGCCAAGAUCAUGUCUCACACCAAUUUCAUCAGAAUGUCUUGGGGUCAGAGCCUGGCAUCAAUAUUUUUGAAAGAUCCUAGGUAAUUCCAGUGUGGAACUAAGUUUGGGAACUGCUAUAUUCUUGGUAUUUUUACUAUAUCCCUUAAUAGUUUUCUUUUUAUUUUACUUUUGUUAAAUAUAAAAAUGAAAGAAAAAUUGUCUAACUUAAAAAUAAUAGCCAAAUCAUAUUUUUACAUAUAUUUAUCUCAGAAAAAGUAUAAAUUUAUAUAUAAUUCACAUUGGCUUCAAACUAAUUCUUGGGUCAAACUAAUCCUAAAAAUGAGAAAGUGAAAAAUUCUGCCUUAAGCAAUUCUUAGGUUCAAAUUCACACUCCCCCACAGACCUGCUUUUAUACUCAAAGAGAGUGAUUACACUAGGGGCAGGCAAAUUCCUACUCAGUCCAAAACAGCGUUGCAAAUUCCAAGAACAAAAGUUUUAAUGUUCUUUAAAAUCUUUGAAAACAAAUGGAAAAGGGCGCUCUGCACGUCCAGUCAAUGUGAAAUAGAUUUGAUCCAGAGGAAUUUUCAAUUUAAUCAAAUGAACAGACAUUAGCUAAUACAGGAAUCUCUUUAUGAGAAAAGUCAUUAUUCCAGAUUAAAUCAUAAUCACUUUUUUAAAAGGUUAAGAGCAAAGACCUAAACAUGAAAUAAUGUCAGCGUAUCAAGAAAAUUGCCACUGGAAGAGUGUGUCACUUGCUCAAGGAAACACACAAGUAUUCAUGACAUUUACCUCCUGAGGCGUAAUUUUAUCCAACCGAGUAGAUGUGGUUUUAUUUUUUGCUGAAAUUUUACCUCAUUCUAGUAAAAUCUAGAGACUACUUUGAAUUCCACUAGAACAUAUUCAUAGAAAGUGUCAAUCUGUCUAUGAGACUGAAACUUUAAAAAGUGGCAUUUUAAAAAAUCAAGUGUAGAACCAAAGGUUUAUUUUGCAUGAUGUUUAUAUUUUUAGACUUCAGAAAUUAGCCC